UAUGAAUUGAUGGAGAAAAAGCUAGACUAUACAUGCAAUGCAAGCGACUAAUAGGAGAAGUCAUUUCUCACCAUGAUGGAUGAAUGAUUCCGACUUACCACAGUUGUUUGAACUUGUGAAAAAUGGAGCAAGAGAGAGAAAAGAAAUGAUAUGCCAAAAACACGCUCCCGCACCUGUGAUGUAAUCUGUCUGUGUGUUUGUGAGGGAGUUAAUGGUGUUAUUGAGUCGUUGGAAAGAGCAGAGAGACAGACGGGUCGGGUGGAGGGCGUGAAGGCUUUAUAAGAGCUCGCAAAUUAUGAAAAACAACCAGAAACUGAAGUAGGAGAUCCAAAGACAGAUUCAGCUCAUCAGACAGAUCUGCUGCAGUCAUGUGUGUUGCCCUUCACUGUGUGUUUCUCUGUGUUUCUCUAGCACUCGGUGCUUGUUAUGAUUCUCAGGAGAGCCAGGAGUCAUUUGAGGUAUUUGUGAAUCCGUAUCAGGCGAAUGCUUUCAUGAGGAGUCCACAAGAGUCCAUCUACAACCAGUAUUUCUACAGGAGGUACAACA